AGUGAACGCUGGCGGUAGGCCUAACACAUGCAAGUCGAACGGCAGCACAGUAAGAGCUUGCUCUUACGGGUGGCGAGUGGCGGACGGGUGAGGAAUACAUCGGAAUCUACUUUUUCGUGGGGGAUAACGUAGGGAAACUUACGCUAAUACCGCAUACGACCUACGGGUGAAAGCAGGGGAUCUUCGGACCUUGCGCGAUUGAAUGAGCCGAUGUCGGAUUAGCUAGUUGGCGGGGUAAAGGCCCACCAAGGCGACGAUCCGUAGCUGGUCUGAGAGGAUGAUCAGCCACACUGGAACUGAGACACGGUCCAGACUCCUACGGGAGGCAGCAGUGGGGAAUAUUGGACAAUGGGCGCAAGCCUGAUCCAGCCAUACCGCGUGGGUGAAGAAGGCCUUCGGGUUGUAAAGCCCUUUUGUUGGGAAAGAAAAGCAGCAGGUUAAUACCACGCUGUUCUGACGGUACCCGAAGAAUAAGCACCGGCUAACUUCGUG
rnacentral:rRNA from 1 species